GUCUCUCAGGUUUGGGAGAGCAAGGAGGUGAGGUCGAAGUCAGUGGUCCCCAAAGUCCACUCAGAUAGGUUUGGGGAGCUCUUCCUGGUCCUGCUUUAGGCAAGACAGUUGCACAUUCUGGUUGCAUUUUUUUUUCUCUUGCAGGCUAAUCUGUCUCAAAGAAAUUCACCAGCAAGCCCAUCUCAUUUGUUUGCCACCAGCCAUUAAAAAUAUUUUCCUUCAGAGAAGGAAAGAGAUUCUGGGAAAGAGAAGGAAUGCUCGGAGAAGAUAAACACUCACGUGAAGCUCGCCUUUAAGGUGUCAUCACAUUGCAACAUCCACAGCAGUGUGAGGGCUGGCCGCUGUGGGUGCAAGCCGAAGUUAGCAAGGGGGAGGACGGUGGGAAAGAGAGGGGCUCUAGGGAAGUCUCUGGAAUAACUUCUGUGCGGCACGCCUUUCUCCCCCACCUCUCUGUCCUGCACUGAGUCUCUGGAGUGCCGCAGCCUUUGCAGUCGAGUAACAAACACACUGCUGACGGUGAGGGUAGCGGCCUCCGGAACUUACACAACUGUCUAAGUGUGGACGAUCUGUUCCAGAAGAGAGGUGACUACCAAGCAAACUUCUCAAACAAGUUAAAAUCAUUGUCAGACUGCAGUGAGCAUCAGCACCAUUCAGGAAGCUUCCCUGGGAUUCUGACUUGGCAGGUCUGGGGCGGGGCCCAGGAAGCUGCAUUCUGAACAAGCACAUCAGGAACUCCGAGGCAAGCGAUCCAGGCACCCCUCUGAGGAGCACGGCUGUGGUGGUGUUCUUUUCUUGGGCUGGUCUGUGCUCCCUUUUCUCCCAGCCAUAACCGGCUGGGGCAGAGAGACCUCACCUGGCAAAGCAUCUCCUGAGAAUUCGGAACUGGGGCUCACAGAACCAGCAGUGUGCGUGCCAGAACCAGCCAGAUCUUACCAGCUGAAGAUCAACUGUGGGUCAAAGCCAUGAUGAGAUCUGAGAAAAUCUGGAGACAUGAACAGAAAAAUCUGAGCAAACGGUGAGGCCUGGCAUUUGCAGAGAAUUAAGAGCACACAGUCUCCCAGCAUGUGACACCUUCCUCGUCCUGGGGCGCUGGGAGCACUCCCAUAAAAACGACAAGCUAGGACCCAUCACUGUUUCUACAACAAUGAGAAUAUUUAUUUUCUUCAGACAGUAAAAAUAACAUUUUUCUCUCUUUUGUAAAAGUUAAGUACCAUUACAUUCCAUUUUCUUAAAUAACAAAAUCCUAAAAAUAUAUAUUAAAUUGUAUACAGUGUGUCACACUUCAUCUUAUACUUUAAAAUACAUGAUGUUUCUAUUUUAUUCUCAAAGUUGCAUAUUAAGAGCAUAUUUACAAAUAAAGCCUUGUCAUCCAAAGUCAAGAUCCCCAGGGGAAGGUGAGUCUGGAUGUGGGCAGGUCUUGACGCUGCGUGAACCCCACGACGGCAGCCCCCCACCACGUGCUCCUGAAGACACAUCCUUUCUGAAGCAGAUUUACCUUGGCCUUUCCUCCACACUCCACUUCUGCCUUGUUGAGUAUGUUCUACUCGGCAAGACAGAAGCCUGUGAGAUGGGCCCCCCUGGGGUCUGUAGGCAGAGGGUGAGUCCCUGUCACCCCUGAGCCAGCCAGCCUGAGGAGAGGCAGCUGUGGUGGAAGGUUUGCAGAACACCCCAUGCCAGGGCAGCUUAGCUGAGAGACCUGGCCAGGAGGUAGAGGAGUGAGGAAAGUAAACAAAGACACCAGAGGAAACAAUCGAAAGGUUAAAAA